UACAGAGGUCCCAAGCGUUGUUCGGAUUCACUGGGCGUAAAGGGUGCGUAGGUGGUCGGGUAAGUCUGAUGUGAAAUCUCCGAGCUCAACUCGGAAAUGGCAUUGGAUACUAUCUGGCUAGAGGAGUGGAGGGGGGACUGGAAUUCCUGGUGUAGCGGUGAAAUGCGCAGAUAUCAGGAGGAACACCGGUGGCGAAGGCGGGUCUCUGGGCAACAACUGACGCUGAGGAGCGAAAGCGUGGGGAGCGAACAGG
rnacentral:rRNA from 1 species